AGAUUCAAGCCCGAGCUGUCUGAGUUCAGAGUCCACACAAUCAUCACUUUCUCCCACUUCUUGGGAAAAAACACAGGUGUUGAUACCACGGCUUGCCAAGGAAAAAGCAAGCAACCGUCCUGUUGAAGAAUGAAUUCAUUCAGUACUAAAUGCUAAAUUACAAUGUUGAAGACAGCUGGUAUGCUGUGGGCCUUUCUCUGUCCCUGAAAAUCCCAGCGGUCUGCAAAUCAAGAGAGAAAGUAGGCAGAAAAUUGAGCCAGAAGGACUCAUAUAUUGGAGACUCCAUGAGGAUGGAGAAAAUGCAGCAACUUGCCCGAAGUCCCAAAUCUGCUCUCUGUCUUCAAGAACUGAACAAGGAUUCAAUAUGGAUUAGUGAUUAAGAGCUUGGGCUAUGGAUUCAGAACAACCUGGGUUCAAGUCCUGGAUCUGCUCCUUACAAGCUGUGUGAGUUGAAACAUCAAUUUAAAAAUUGAGUGUUCAGGGCGUACCUGGAACAUUGCCAGUCUACGUGGUGGAUGAAAAAGACAGAUGGCAAACCACGUGCUGGAAGACAUGUGUCAACUCUGUCUACACGUCACUAGCCAACACAAGUCCCAUAGCCACUCCUGAAUUCAACAGUGCAGGAGUGGAUAGUAUUCCUCCAGAGUGGGGUAUUGAAAGGAAGAAAAUUGUAAUGUUUUAUCAUAGUGUAUAAUUUGCCAGCUAUUUAUUCUGAGCCC